rnacentral:rRNA from 1 species
AUUGAACGCUGGCGGCAGGCCUAACACAUGCAAGUCGAGCGGAAACGAGUUAUCUGAACCUUCGGGGAACGAUAACGGCGUCGAGCGGCGGACGGGUGAGUAAUGCCUAGGAAAUUGCCCUGAUGUGGGGGAUAACCAUUGGAAACGAUGGCUAAUACCGCAUGAUGCCUACGGGCCAAAGAGGGGGACCUUCGGGCCUCUCGCGUCAGGAUAUGCCUAGGUGGGAUUAGCUAGUUGGUGAGGUAAGGGCUCACCAAGGCGACGAUCCCUAGCUGGUCUGAGAGGAUGAUCAGCCACGCUGGAACUGAGACACGGUCCAGACUCCUACGGGAGGCAGCAGUGGGGAAUAUUGCACAAUGGGCGCAAGCCUGAUGCAGCCAUGCCGCGUGUAUGAAGAAGGCCUUCGGGUUGUAAAGUACUUUCAGUCGUGAGGAAGGUAGUGUAGUUAAUAGCUGCAUUAUUUGACGUUAGCGACAGAAGAAGCACCGGCUAACUCCGUGCCAGCAGCCGCGGUAAUACGGAGGGUGCGAGCGUUAAUCGGAAUUACUGGGCGUAAAGCGCAUGCAGGUGGUUUGUUAAGUCAGAUGUGAAAGCCCGGGGCUCAACCUCGGAAUAGCAUUUGAAACUGGCAGACUAGAGUACUGUAGAGGGGGGUAGAAUUUCAGGUGUAGCGGUGAAAUGCGUAGAGAUCUGAAGGAAUACCGGUGGCGAAGGCGGCCCCCUGGACAGAUACUGACACUCAGAUGCGAAAGCGUGGGGAGCAAACAGG